GGAGUCGAACGGACCGUAAGGCCGGUCGGUGGCCGUAGGUACUAAGGUCGAAGUCGAAGCGGUAACGGAGGUCGUUACGUAGGAGUAGGACGUUGAGAGUGGCGAACGGGUGAGUAACACGUAGGAAUCUACCCUUAAGACGGGGACAACCCAGGGAAACUUGGGCUAAUACCGGAUGAGAGUGCGAGAGAUUGCAUUUAAAAGGAUGGCGAAAGUUGUCGCUUAGGGAUGAGCCUGCGGUCUAUUAGUUAGUUGGUGAGGUAAGAGCUCACCAAGGCGAUGAUAGAUAGGCGGCCUUAACGGGUGGUCGCCCACACUGGGAUUGAGAUACGGCCCAGACUCCUACGGGAGGCAGCAGUCGAGAAUAGUCUACAAUGGCCGGAAGGCUGAUAGUGCGACGCCGCGUGAACGAGGGAGCCCUUCGGGGUGUAAAGUUCUUUUCUAUACGAGCAGUGCUAUAUAUAUGGAUAGUAUAUAUAGAGGGAUAGUAGUAUAGGAAUAAGCAACGGCUAACUCCGUG
rnacentral:rRNA from 1 species